rnacentral:lncRNA from 1 species
AGUAAGCUAGUGCUUUCUUCCUCUCCUGCCCUCAAAGCAACACAGCCGUAACAAACGUUAUCUGAAGACCCUGUUAUCAGCCUGAUUCCUCCCAACACCCUACUCUAUGGCAACAUCUUUACUCUCUGGCCUCAGUCAAACAAUUAAGUGACCAAAGAGAAGAUAAAAGGGAGAAUAGUGGGAAGAAACUGUGGGAGACGGAGAAAGGAACACAGAGACCACGGGAGACCUACAGAAAAGGAGAGAAAGACAAAAACACAGUGAGGUCCAAACAGAGACGCCAAGAGAUCAAUAGGAUACUUUGAGAGACAAACAAAAGGGGUGCGCUAGUUUGUGUGCAAGUGAAAUGGAAAAGGAAUGAGGAGGACAUUCCACAACUCUCCCAGUUAUGAAGACACAGACCUGAGAGGGAGGCAUUCACACAUAAGGGAGUCUGGAAAGUGUGGAACAAGUUUCCCUCCCACCCCUCCCUGGGUGACCAGGGGGCAGAGCAGGGAACUGCUGAUUAUCCAGUAAGAGAUCCUUCUCCCUGAGCCGUGGGCUGUGAUUCCAAUGAGUCCUAUUUGUGACCUCAGGAACUUGGUGUUCCCAACAAGAAAGGGAGAGGCUGGCUUCCCUCCAGUUCUCAUAGACAAGGUACCGACUACUGAAGGAAUAGGCUGGGCCAAAGCGGCCAGACAUUUACAUGUUCUGCGACCACCAGACAGGCCAGUCCCUCUUCAGGAUGGAAUCUUCUGGACUUCUGAGCAUCCUCGUGCUAUUCAUCCUGUUGGCGAAUGUUCAGGAAACUGCUCACUGGCGCUCUUUCCUCUUCCCUUCCAGGGACAAAUGGAUUGCACAAAUGAAGAAACCAUAUUUCAGAGGGGGCAAGUGGAAGACCAGAGUGAGAAUUCAAAACUUGAAGUGACUCUAGUGCACUAGGAGUCACUGAACAAUGUUACCUCCUGGAGGACUUCACAGACCCUGGCUUUUCAGCAAGGCCAAGAAGACCAGAUCAGCCCAAACCAUUGGCUGAACAGGGGCAGUUUUCCCAUAGGGGGCAUUUGCAAUGUCUGGAGAUAUUUUUGUUGUUACAGGAGAGGGGAAUGCCUCAGGCUUAGAGUGGGUUGAGGCUAGGGAUGCUGCUCGGCCUCCCACAGUGCACAGCACAGCGUCUCUCCCAGCAAAGAUUUACUCAGACCAAAUGCCACCAAUGGUAUAGAAAACUUGCCUCAGAGGGGCCGGGGGUGGAAGUGGGUUGAGGGAUGGGGCUAAGAAGGUUGGGAAUGCCCACUGGAUUAGCACUGACACCUGGAUCACUGAGGGCUGGUCAUGGGUGAGGUUGCUGGAUUUGGGAGACCUCUGCCCCUAAUACGGUGUGUAACAUUAGUAAUGUUUUUAUCCUGUCAAGUAAUGCCUGGGCCCCAGUUUCCCCGAGUAAAUGACAGGUAAAAGAGUUGAUUCAGUCAGGUGGUUUCUUGGCUCCUUUCCACUCUAAUGAUUUUCUGAGCACCCAGGUGGCCAUUGUUUUCCUAACACAUAGCAACAUUGCUGCUGCAAGUGAUAAAUCCAGCAAUCAUCUUUCCUGGCUUUCUGCUCUUAAACUACUUCCUUUCUGCCUAUCCAGAUUCAACUUUAUGUCAGGAAACCUGCCUUGACCACCCCAGAACAGAGAGGUUUUCCUUUGCUAUUGCAGGGUUAACUCCACGCCCAUCUCCCUGGAUUCCAAAAAAGACUGUCAAAAAUUCUGCAUUUAUUUAGCAAAUAUUUACUUGUGCCUCUGAGACCCAUUACAUCAGCCCAUUUUGUACCUCUCUAAUGAAAUACCAGUGAUAGGUUAACUGUGCCAAGAAAAGAGUUUUCUUUCACUCAGAGUUUUGGAGUCUGAGUCCAAAAAGCAUGUUACAUUCUCUGGCAAGUACCCUAUGGCAGUUGGUGGAUUGCGUGAGGAAGAGAUAGAUCACGGGGUACAGAAGCCAAGAGAGAU